CUUCAUCAUCCCAUCUUUUAAUCCGCCGUCUUCCUCAGUGAAGCUCUUCUAUCCACCUUACUAACAACCACCAUCUGUCCUCUAUGUGAUUCCCAAGAUAUUCUUAAAUCGUCCUUUGGAUUCUGUUUAAAAAUAGAAGUUUCAUUGCUCUUUUUACCCCACAUUAGCCUGGACCUUUUCAGCUCUAUUUUCCAAAGUUCCUUCAAUCACCAUUUGAUUCUCCCUUUUCCCAUCACUUCUAAAAUUCUCAUUUUGACCCUUUACUUUCUAUACCAAUUUGCAGCCUUUCUCUUUACCAUUCAAACUUUUGAAUUUGCCUUGUUGUCCCCAUUCGCUUAAAUUCCUCCUGUCUCUCCAUGUAUCCCCAUAUUUUCGAUUUGCAAACUAAUUCUUUUCCAUUUUCGUCAUUGACGGCCUUCUCCAUCAUGCUCAUACUGCUUUUUCUUGUUAACUUCUUGCCAUACAUUUU
rnacentral:lncRNA from 1 species